UUGACGGGGAGCACCACGAACGGGUGGAGCUUGCGGUUUAAUUGGAUUCAACGCCGGAAAUCUUACCGGGACCGACAGCAAUAUGAAGGCCAGGCUGAAGACUUUGCCGGAUUAGCUGAGAGGUGGUGCAUGGCCGUCGUCAGUUCGUACUGUGAAGCAUCCUGUUAAGUCAGGCAACGAGCGAGACCCACGCCCACAGUUGCCAGCGUACUCUCCGGAGUGACGGGUACACUGUGGGGACCGCCGCUGCUAAAGCGGAGGAAGGAAUGGGCAACGGUAGGUCAGUAUGCCCCGAAUAUCCCGGGCUACACGCGAGCUACAAUGGUUGGUACAAUGGGUAUCUACCCCGAAAGGGGACGGGAAUCUCCUAAAACCAAUCUUAGUUCGGAUUGAGGGCUGCAACUCGCCCUCAUGAAGCUGGAAUCCGUAGUAAUCGCGUUUCAACAGAACGCGGUGAAUACGUCCCUGCUCCUU
rnacentral:rRNA from 1 species